UUUAAAUAUUUCAUAUAUUUUUCCUUUCAUAUUAAACAGUUUCAAAAUUGUACUAAUCUUUUAUAGGCCAAGAUUCUGUACGACGAAAAAAUGAGUCAUCUUAUACUCUAACGAGAUUUUUAAAGAAAAAAUUCUUUAGGAGUCCAUAAUGAUCAAAUGCGAGCUGUGUUGCCUAAAGCGAGGACGCAUAAUCUGACUCCCUGUUGGCAGAUGUGAUAAUCUCUGAUAGGCAACGCCAGAGUCUCAUCUAGUAGCUUCAAGAUCUCAAGAAGCGGCCAAUGUCCCGAGCACGCUUCGCAAUUGCAAUCGAACCAAUAUUGUAAUCUCAGUCUUCGUUUUCGUUCGUUCUCGGGCGUAGUUGUAAAGAUUGGACCAUAAUUUUCCGAAAUUUCUUCACCUGCUCUGAUUGUACGAGCGGCACGAACAACCAUAGUUGUACCGAUAAAGUACCUAAUAAUCAAUUUUUCACAUCAAAUUUCAAUUAUUUAU